CGGGAUUUCAGGGAGUAGCUUGCUACGAACUGAUGAGAGUGGCGCACGGGUGGUAACGCGUUGAGGCAACCUAACCCCAAUACAGGGGGAUAGCCUCUCGAAAGAGAGAUACACCCGCAUAACAUCAUUAACCGGCAUCGGUUUUUGAUCAAAUAUUUAUAGGAUAUGUGGGCUCGCGUGACAUUAGCUAGUUGGAAAGGUAACGGCUCACCCAAGGCUACGAUGUAGGGGCACUGAGAGGAGAAAUCCCCCACACUGGUACUGAGACACGGACCCAGACUCCUGGGAGGCAGCCAGUAAGGAAUAUUGGUCAAAUGGAGGCAACACUGAACCAGCCCAUGCCGUGCAGGAUGACUGCCCUAUGGGUUGUAAACUGCUUUUGUCAGGGAAAUAAACCUUUACGUGUAGGAAGCUGAAUGUACCUGAAGAAUAAGGAUCGGCUAACUCCGUGCCAGCAGGCGGUAAUACGGAGGAUCCCAAGCGUUAUCCGGAUUUAUUGGGUUUAAAGGGUGCGUACGGUCCUAUAAGUCAAGUGGUGAAAGACGGCAAGCUUAACUGUCGCAAGUGCCUUUGA
rnacentral:rRNA from 1 species